rnacentral:lncRNA from 1 species
AUUAAAGUUUCAUAUUUUAACUACUUAUAGUAUAAAUGUUAUCAAGAGCAGAUAAACAUUGCUAAUAGUUUUGGCAUACCAAUAUAUAUAAAAAAUAUAGACUUAAAUGAAAAAAAUAAUAUUAAUUUAUUAUACAGUAUGAAUGCACAUAAUGCUUAUUGUUUUUUUGUAUUUUCAGCGAAAAUAAAUACUAAAAGUUAUAACAUAGAUACAAAAUCUUUUACAAGAUUAUUAAUUUUAAAAAAAUUUACACAUGAAAAUAAAAAAAAAAAAAAAAAUGUUAUAAUUGUUUUACAAGACAAAUAUGUUUCUAAUGUAAUUAAAUCUAUCGGAUUUGAAUGCUUUAAUAUAGUAAAUUUGAAAUAUUCUUUAAUACUUAAAAAUAUAAACAAACCUGGUUUUAUUACACUCCUUUUGAAUUUAUUUACUGCAUAUAAUCUACAUAAUAACGCUCUUUGUUCUGGAACUGAAACAAAAAAUAGUACUGAUGCUGCUUCAGUUCAUUAUAUACAAGAAUUUAAUACAGGUGCUAAAAACAAGAUAUUUUCCUUUUUCGCUCAUAAGAACAUGAUCGGAUUAACAUAUGACAAAUUAUAUAAAAAAUUAUUUACAUCACUUGGUAUUAUACUCAUAGGUAUUGAAACAAAAAAUAUGACUACAACUUUUGAAAAUAAACUGAAGAAAAAAAAAAAAAAAAAAAAAAAAAAAAAAAAAAAAAAAAAAAAUAUUUAUAAAUUUAAGUAUUUACAAUUUUUAAAAAAGAAAUAUGAUCAUAUAAUUUCUGCUAAUGGUAUGCCCCAAAUUAAUAACAAACAUGUACCUAUUAAACAAGUAAAAAAAAAUAUAUACAGUAAAAAAAAACUUUAUUAUUUAUCAAAUGUUGAUGGUACAAUUCGUGAAUGUGCGGACACACACGAAAAAAAAAAUAAACAUCAAAAAAAAUACAACACUAGUUUAUAUACAGAAAAAAAUAAAAAAACGAACGAUAGUAACACAUUUUCCAAUUUGUGUAUUAAUCACCAUAAUAACUUCAGUAAUAACAUAAAGCGUAGACAACUAUCCACUCGUAAUAAAAAAAAACGAACGGAAUAAAAGAAUGGGACUAUAAUAUAGUGUUGCAUAAAAAAGAAAAUAUGCACAACUACGACAGUAAAAACAUGCAUGAAAAAAAAAAAAAAAGAAAAACGAAAAUGUUAUUUAAAUUUAUUGGGUAAAAAUUACAUUAUAAAUAAAGGUGAUAAAUGUUUAAUUAUAGCUAGUUCU